rnacentral:lncRNA from 1 species
CUCGGCCUUUGGUGGGAACUUCGGCUCUGUGGGAAUUAGUCUUUGGGGGACUGAUGGUGAUGCUGAAAUCUUAUUGCGUAGGAAAUUAAGUACAACAAAGAAGACCCGUCGUGAGAGGAGAGUGCGGAAGAAAUGCGAAGUCUACGGGAGGUGGCAGCUGCAGAAGCUUGGUGUUGGAUUUGGAGUUAGGAGACCGGGAGGAGCCCAGCUUCCGGUCCAGACGGUUAUCUUGUUGACUUGCACGACUGCAAACGCCCUGAGCUGCUUUUGCAGUCUGAAACAUCAGCGAUCCCAUCAAAAUAUUCUGUUUCUUGGGAUAUAAGAAACAUCCCAAGGCGGGCUGUAGAGCGAGAGAUUUGGACUCGAUUUAAAUACAGACAAAAUAGUAUGCAUUUACUAACACCACAUCUCACCCCCACGAAACUUGCCAAGCCCAGCACAACAAUGGCACACAGCAGUUGCUGCCCAAGCCUGGGUGCUCCUGGUGGUCCUGCACGAUCGGCUGUGCAGUAGGCUUGUCAAGGAGAGGAUCCUCCCUGGCCUCUCCUUGGGCAGAGGAGGUGGUCCAUAAAGCUGCUCUGGAGCCAAAAUAUUGCAGUCACAUCUCGGCAGCGACCUGCCCUCAGGUGGCAUUUUCAAGUCAUGGAGAAGGUGGAGAGAGAAGCAAUCAGCAGCCACCCACUGCAGCUGGAGACCCCAGAACUUGGUGUCUGCCUCCCAUGGCACUGGGAAGGCUGGAGGCAGAUGUUCAGCACACUCAUCUCUUUCUAAUUGGACUUGUUGAAAUGACUCCUUCAACUGCAAGAAUGGGCACAGAACUUAGGAAGGGCUGUCACUGGUCCUCACCUGCUCCUGGCCACCUGGGGUCAUCUUCCUUCCACAUAACUCCCUCAGAAAACCUCACCUGUGUCAGCUGCACUUUCAGUAGUGCCUCCUCCCGCAUGGACUGCUCUAACUUCCACUCCGUACGUGCUUUGCUGCGGCUGGACAACUGGAUGGUGAAGAGUGAGAAGUUUCAAUCUGGAGAGCCUGGGCAUUUCCACACAGUGCCCCUUAAAAGGACUAGGGCUAGGCCCAAUAUACAACUCAGUCAGUAAAGAUCAAGGCAUUUCC